rfam:Schistosoma rodhaini strain Burundi genome assembly, scaffold: SROB_scaffold0001838
AUCCAGCUGACGAGUCCCAAAUAGGACGGAACGCGCGUUCUGGAU